GUGUUGCACCAAAGGAGAGAUGGUUGGCAUCCCCCUUGACAAGGUCGGCAUACAAGCGUGGUCUGGCAAAGCCCCACAAAUGGCUCAAUUUUUUUU
rnacentral:ncRNA from 1 species